AUGGACUCUACAAGGUGUUGACUCCAAUGCGUCCCACAGUUUUGUCAAGUUGGCUGGAUGUCCUUUGGGUGCUGAACAUCGAAUAUUCCAAUCAUAGUGUAAAUGCAGAUGCUGUACUCUAGAGGCUGUGGACUGUGGAGAGACUGAGAGAGAGGAGUGGAGGCAGCACUGGCACUGACCUUGGGAAAGAUUCCACCUACAAAAGAAGAGAAGAGCUGAGAGAGGGAGAGAGAGAGAGAGAGAGAAAGAG